CCGUGCUAGACGGGGAGGUAGCGGUGCCCUGUACUUGCAACCCGCUGUAGCAAGGUUGAAUUCCCAUCUCGAGGAUUAGUCCUUGUGGGGUCCGGCUUAGGCAAGUGGUGUAGACGAUUGGGUCCAGCGCAACGGAACAUCAUGAACCCCGUCAGGUUCGGAAGGAAGCAGCGGUAAGUGAUAUAUCUCGUGUGCCGCUGGGGUGCCUGGUCCGAGCUAACUACCUAGGUAACGCCCGGAAGGUUAAUUCGAAAGUGGGUGCACGG
rnacentral:SRP_RNA from 1 species